AACCUCAAUCUUAUCUCUCUCGAUACCCAAACAUUCACGCGAACAAACCCUCAGCCUUCCUCUCACACCAAACUCGAUUGAUUCCUCUCACGCCAGCAACCUAAAAUCAACUCACCACCACCCGCUUCUCUCAGCCGUCCUCUCUCUCUCUCUCACUCUCAGCCUUCCUCUCUCUCUCUCACUCGUUCUCUCGAACUUGUCAAAUCGAAGCUUCUCUCUUGAACCCUAGCUCCAAAUCGAAGCUAUAAGGGGAACGAAUUGAAGCUUCUCUCCACUCUCACUAUUGUCGUCCUUUCUCUUUUUUCUCACCGGUCUCUGCUCUCACGAAUCGAAGCUUCUCUUUCUCUUUCACUAUUGUCGAACCUUCAUCGAUUCAGGGAUCCCUACUUAGAGUGUGUCAAUUCAGACCAUCAAAGUUUGUUGGCUUAGCUAUGAGCAAGGAGAUUAUAUAACUUGGUCUGUUUGGUUGAGAGAGAUCAAUGGUUGCUAUGGCCGGGCAGAAAGUAAUGCACUAUUGUCAUAUGGUCACAAACUAGAGUAACUAACAAAUGUUUCUGAUAUGACCAGGGGACCAUAAUAGUUUCUAUGUAAAGCUGGUUUCAAGUUUGCAAUUAAGGGAUAACUCAUGAGACAACUGGUUCAAUGUUGACUUGGACACUUUAUCUUCCAAGUAAGCUAAUAGUGUAAACCAUAAUUAGUAGAAUAGAAGAGACUUUAGUCAGAAGUAGGAAUGAAAAUUUCUAAUUUUUUUACAGAAUAAGUUAUUAUUUUAAUUAGUUUGCCUUGGUUUGAAAUAUUGUAUGACAUUUGGUAUUUUGGAUGAUGUUGAAUUUUAAUGACAUUUGAUUAUAUUAUGUAAUUGUAUUUUGGUUGAA